rnacentral:rRNA from 1 species
UACGUAGGGUGCGAGCGUUGUCCGGAUUUAUUGGGCGUAAAGAGCUCGUAGGCGGCUUGUCACGUCGGGUGUGAAAGCCCGGGGCUUAACCCCGGGUCUGCAUUCGAUACGGGCUAGCUAGAGUGUGGUAGGGGAGAUCGGAAUUCCUGGUGUAGCGGUGAAAUGCGCAGAUAUCAGGAGGAACACCGGUGGCGAAGGCGGAUCUCCGGGCCAUUACUGACGCUGAGGAGCGAAAGCGUGGGGAGCGAACAGG